rnacentral:lncRNA from 1 species
AAAUAGCUGGCCAAGAAUAUUUAUUCCUAUUCCCUAUGGACAUAGCACCAUAUUUACUUCUGGAGCUCCAAGAGUUUUAAAGAUCUGAUCCUUAUCCAUGAGCUGUGAGAAGCCCAUGGGGCUCAACCAUGUGAUCAAAGGAUAAAAUAGACAGUGCUGGGAGUUCCCGUCGUGGCGCAGUGGUUAACGAAUCCGACUAGGAACCAUGAGGUUGCGGGUUCAAUCCCUGCCCUUGCCAGUGGGUUAACGAUCCGGCGUUGCCGUGAGCUGUGGUGUAGGUUGCAGACGCGGCUCGGAUCCAGCGUUGCUGUGGCUCUGGCGUAGGCCGGUGGCUACAGCUCUGAUUCGACCCCUAGCCUGGGAACCUCCAUAUGCCGCGGGAGCGGCCCAAAGAAAUAGCAAAAAGACAAAAAAAUAAAAAAAUAAAAAAAUAAAAAAAAAAAUAGACAGUGCUUUGCCCAGCACCUAGCACACUGCCUGGCACACUGCAACAGCUCAAGCAAUGCAAGUGUCUUCUGUGGUGGUGCUAUUUAUCAGUGAGUGUGCUGGACAGUCUGUGUUGCUCUUCCCAAGGCCAACACUGAUGGACUACAUAUAGCUGGAUCUCUGUCACCCCUAUUUUGUGUUUAGUGUUGCUGCUGGAGACACUGUAAGAUGAAGGGGGCAUACGUGAGAGAGCUGAACUCCUCUUUCAGAGGCCACAGCUCUCGGGCAGGCCAUCAGCCCUCCCUGGGCCAUCUCAGGACUCAGGAGGCAAUGGCUCCCAUAGUUUUGAGCCUCCAGGUGCUACACUGGCCCAUGUUGCCUCCCUAACCCACACCCUCAAAAACCAUCCUUCCUUACACUUUCCUCAGUUACUUCAUUUGAGAUUUGAGUGUGCCCUCCUUUUCUUUUCUGGACUCUUAUCUAACCCAGCAGUUGAGUAAACUAUAUUUCACAGUUAAAAGAAAAAGUUUGAAAACUCAGGUCCUGUGAUGGGCUCUCUGCCCAGCUGUGUUCCAGGCACACCUGUGUCUUUGCUUUUUUUAUUCUUUCCAACCCCGCAUCAGGUAGGUUAUGUGGGAGAGGAAGUUAGGGGGAUCUGGACCAAGGAGGAUGAUCAGACACUUGACUUAUGGCCUAUGGAUACAGAUUUUUGGAAUCACAGCCAAUCGAAAGUACUCUGUCCCACUGUAACCAAAAGUAUGCUCAAGCACCCGUGCUAAGCUCCUGAGUUCCAUACACCUCUCUCCUGUAUGGACUAGAGAUUCUGAAGAGAGGUGCCAUAUCCAGACCAUUCAUGAUUUCUGAGAAACUGAGCAUCAAAUUCCGGCACCUAGAGAAGUGUUGGGCCCAUGAUGGGUACUCAACACCUAUUCAUGGAUUAAUGAAUGAAUUCUGAGACAAACCCACAUGGUUCAUCUCUAUGGGUGGCAUAUGGGGUAGUGUCAUAGAAGUGUGACUCCUUGAGUGCAAAAUGUGUCCCCGUGUCUCCCUCCUACAUGUUCAAGCAUUAUCUGUGGAAUGCAAUCGACUGAUCAUUGCGAGAGUCCAGCAGAAGCAUCCAACUGGGUCUCUGAUUUUAAGUUGCCUUUUAUAAGGGAAUACCCCAUGCAUUCUUGAGGUUGGCAUUUCAUUGCAAGCCCCCAGUUCUAACUUCUUAAUUAACUAAAAGGAAAAAGGGUAAGAAGACUCUAAUCAACAGUGACCUCUAUCAGCACCAUCAGAGGCUGCCCACAAGAUGAUGCAGACUAAGAUACUGCUUUAUUGCCUCAAGUCCUUCUUUCUCCCUCUUGGGGUUUGUUAAUAUUUUUCUGUCCCUCAGCCAGUGCCUCUUUUGUGCACUGACCCUGGGACCCCAGGGAAAUCCUGAUAGAGCAGAAUUUGCUUAGCCUUGCAGCCCUCAGGCCUCAAUGGCUAAGCCUGUGUUUUAUCACUUGCUUUUCUGAACAGACACACUUUAUAACAAAAGGUCCUGUUAGAAUAUGUACUUCCUGGAACAUGAAAGACAUGGAUGAGAGAAUUUCUGUGGGUGAAGUGGGUGGGAAUAGAGAAAUAAUUUAAAUUUGACUAGAACAUAUUUGAUUAUAAUAAAUAAAUAAAUAAAUAAAUAGAAUAAAAAAAUUCACUCCACAGCACCUGCCUACACAGAAGGAAAGAAAAUAUGUUUGAGAGGAUGGGGAGUGGGCUAAGAGCUCUGGCCCUAAAAAAACAGUUUGCUGGAUCCUAACUUCCUGUUGGUCAAAUAUUUUUUCAGGACUCUUUCGCAAAAACCCUAGUGGAGCCUUGUGCUUUAAGAGCUGGUAUGGUGGGCAUGAACUUAGUCUUCACCACUUUCUGGCUGUGUAAACUGUAGCAAAAGGCUCAGGAACCAUGGGUUUCAGGUUCCUCACAGAUAAAGUGGUGGAAGAUACUUAUUUUGGAAAGCUGGUCUGAGGAUGAAAUUAGAUAACAUAUGUAAGGGCUUUAGCUAAGCAAUGGCAUACAAUGAAUGCUAAAUAAAUACAAGAUUACCCUGUCUCCUGACCUUAAUUUAUUUAAUUUCAUAAUUCUGAAAACGAGGCAUUUAUUCAUUCAUUUGUACAUCUGUUCAGCAGUUAGUUAUGGUGCUAACCUGGGUCCUGGGUAUAACCUAAACACAAUCCAAGUGAUGAUGAACUCUAAUGGGCUCCUGCUCUCAGGGAGUUUAGUAGGAGAAAAAUCAGCACUAACAAUGCUUCAGGAGUUCUCACCAUGGUUCAGUGGUUAACAAAUCUGACUAGCAUCCACGAGGACACAGGUUUCAUCCCUGGCUUUGCUCAGUGGGCUAAGGAUCCAGUGUUGCUGUGGCUGUGGUGUAGGCUGGCAGCUACAGCUCCAAUUCAACCCCAGCCUGGGAACCUCCAUAUGCCGCGAGUGUGGCCCUAAAAAGCGCAAAAAAAAAAAAAAUGCUCCAUAUGAAGGAGGUUUAGCUACAUGUGUGUUAGGAAGAAACAGAAUAUGGUCACAAGAGAUAGCAUAACAGGCAGAUAUGAAUUUGUAUGUGGAGGACAUCAGGAACGCCUCUCUGAAGAACAUGUAUUUAAGUUGAAACUGAAGGAAUAGAGUCUUCCUAACAAAAUCAGAAGGGUGGGAGUAGAAGGAAGAGGAGGACUCUGCAGUAGAUAAACUGUGUGAAGACCCUGAGGCAGGAAGAGGUGGGCGUGCUCAAGAAAUUGCAAGGAGGGUGUCGUGGUGCCCAUGUAUUGAGGGAGCUAGAGAGUGGGACCCAGUGACAGUGGAAGAGUGACCACUGAGAGUGGGAGAUGUGUUGGUGGCCUCAGAUGAAGUGGAAAAAGCAGACCACAGGAUAGGUUGUCCUGUGUGCCCCAUGUUGUGGGGAUGGUCGUCUCCCACCAAAGAUCAUGCUGUCCCUUCCAGAGUAAAGACUUGUUCCUGGGAAAAGCUGUCUAGUCAGGAUACCGGUAGGUUCCCAAGCCCCUUGCAUUUAACAAGCAGUCAUUUGACUACUUGCUACCCACAAGUCAAAGUGAGGUGUGUCAUUUCUAGGACAAAACUGUGAAGAAACAGGUCCACCUUACCCAUAUACCCUCUUUCCCAUCCUUCCAGCUAGUAGCAGAUGUCUAUGAGACAAAGACAGUACAGUUUCAAGAGAGAAGGAACUUUGGUCCCUAAAUCCUGGGGGAUAUCCGCCUGCUGACUACGGCCAUUUACCUUGGGCUGCUGUGUUACUGAGAAGUAACCUCUUAUAUUUCAACUGUUACAUAAUUUUUGUUCCAUUUAAUCCAGCACUUAAACAUUACUUUUACAUAUUGUUCUGACCAGAGCACCUGGCUGCUGUGAUGGUGGCCUCUAGACUUGGCUGAGGGAGAAGGCAGAGAGGGCCAGAUUGAGCAGGGCAGAAGCAGGGGCAUUUCUGUGACACACCAUCUCUGUCAGUCUUUGCUAUGGAGCUCAUCUUUGAGGGACUGUGCAGUCACAUUACCAGAUGGAGUCUUCAGUCUCAUUGGCAUGGGAUGCCCUUCCCAUUCUAAGUAGCAAACCCAUCGUCUAUUCAUUCAUUUGCUCAUUCAAUCACUCAGCCGGGCACUGGGCUAGGACUGGGGGUCAGCACACAGUCCUGCUCUUGAGAAGCUCACAGUCUUCAUACUCUCCAUCUCUAACUGCUCAUAUAAAUCCACCACAGUGGGAUCAAUAAUGAGAAAUAGGCAGCCAGAGGAAUGGAUGAUUAGUGAACAUAUUGUUUCUGAUAUGGCGACGAUGAUGUGAGGGGCAAGGGUAGGAAGGGAGCAGAAGGGCAAAGAAGGAUCAGAAAGGGCAAAGAAGGAUCAGAAAAGGCAAAGAAGGACUAUUUCCCCUAAAAAUUGAUGGUUUUUCCUCCUAUACAACUUUGUAGGAUACUUAAUAUGUGCAGGGAGAAAUCAAGACCCAGAUGCUUAUUGGGGCCUCCCCAAAGUCUUUGACUCAAGGUCCAUGCCUUUGUCACUGCCUGCCAUGUGAUGCUCCCCUGGAGGGGAAAGUGCUGUUUAUCAACGAGUUUAGAGUUAAGUGCUUGACUGUGGGGAUUAAGGAGAGGUUGCAGCUGCAGAGGGCAGAGUGAUGCCUCCUCAGCUGGACAGAUGCUCUGGGCUGCCUGGCCAUCGACCCUGGAUGAGGUACCAGUGGCUAAAACCAGUUUGGCUGGGUUCCCAGUAUGGAGCCAGAGGAUAACGGCAAGCUGUGUCCUGUAGAGCCUGGGAGCCAAAUAUUGUCUCCUAGUCAGGGCGGAGGGUGCUGGGCUGGAACUAGGACAAGGUUGGAACGUGCAGGCAAUGGACCAGUGGUGCUUAGGAGACACAGCUUGGCUUUCAGACCUCAGGGCCUCAGUGGAUAUGUUACUGGGGGGGUGCUGUUUACGUGUGGCAUACAUGUGUAUGCGUGUGUGUGCGUGCACUUACAAGCAUCUGUGCAGAUCACACAUGCACACACACACAUGCUCGGGGCAUGUUCUGUGAUGGCAUGGGGUCAGGGAUGGGUCGAAUGGAAACAUAAGAACAUUGGGAACAGGAAACUAACUAACCUGGAAGCUGGGAGAGCCAGCCUGGGAAAGCACUUGUUCCCACCCAGGCUGGUUCUCCCUGCCUCACCGGGUCUUCCAGUUUUGUUCUCAAGAUUCAUCACACAUAGUUCUUUCUUACACUGUUCUUACUUAUAACUGGGGAGGUAUGUGGAAGGCUUGGGGAUGCUGCCAGCUCUCCCCUAGAUGGAAGAGGCCCCUUAAGCCUUUGCUAGAAAGAUUCAGUGUCCAGACACGGUGCUAGUAUCAAACAUUUGGAUUCUGUCUGCAAAAAGUGAUCUGUUAGAUACGAAGUGCUCUAAUGUUUCCACUUUUUGUAAGACUUUUCAGAAUAUAGGCAAAUAAAUCAUGAACGCUCGGCUUAGAAAUGCAGUGCUUUGAUUUUCAGAUUGGAUAAAGUGGUGUCUCAGUCCAUAACAACAGCGGAUUUCUUGAAGAUUAUAUGCAAUCUAAUAACAAAGUGCUUACGAUGCACCAAACUCCCUAAAAGUACUCUUUUAAUCAUCUGACAACCCCACAAAGUAGGUACCUUUAUUGUCUCCAUUUUAAAGAUGGGGCCAUUGAGGCUCUGUGAGGUCUGAUAACUUGCCCAAGGUGACACAAUUAGGGAGUGGUCCUGCCAGGAUUUGAAUCCAGGCUGCUGGGCUCCAGAGGCCCUGCUCUUGACUGUGUCCACCUCCUUCCAUGGACAAGAAAGAUAGCUGCUCUGCCUUGUCGUGUGUAAAUGGUCACUGGGCUGUCUCCUGCACUAAAUAGGAACCUAGAAGGAGGAGCUGUUUCUAAUUUCUCUUCACUUCUCCAGCUGGAGGCCCAGGAACUGGCAAGCAGGAGAGCCUACAAGGCUCGUUACAUGUUUGCUGUUGGGACUGGGAAGGCCUGCCAAGGUGAUCUGGUCCAUUCUUCUGCCUCAGCAGCAUCAUCUGGGAUUCUGCACACAGUGACCUUAUCCACGCGCUUCACCCCAUGACGGCUUUCUCUCCACAGUCUAAUCCCCUUUCAACAAGCUCCCCUGGCAGACCAAGUCCUGGUGCAUAACCAUGGGCAUCUGUCGUGUGCCCAUGGAAAUGUGCCCACAGCACUGAACAGUAAACACUUUUCUGGGCUGGGCACCAAAGCUGGCUGUGGUGGCUUGCUACCUCCAUGACAAAACUCCCUCUGGUUCCAACAAUGAUUUAUCCACUGAGCCUGCUGCCAGUUUCACUGUCUUCCUUUCAUUUCAGGAGCACAAUAGGUAAAAAUCUACUGGUACAGCAGAUGCUGGGUUAAACUUAGAGAUUCAGACAUAGACACUUUCCUGAGUGGGGAAAGAAACAUCCCACGUGGCUUGGGUUUUCUCCAGAAGGUCGCCCUGAGGCCUGAUACAAAUGAGAAAAAUAGAUGAGCCUUUUUACAUUUCCCUAAUAGACUGGGAAGAGAAGCGAAUUGAAUCACAAAGUCCUAAUAAGCACCUUUUCAAAAUGACAGGUCUUGACCUAACAAAUAAGCUGGCCAAAGGAGGCAGAAGGGUAACAUUUACUGAGCUCCUGCUACAGCCAGGUUUUUGCAUAUGUUCCUUUAAAAGUCUCAAGAAGUUUACGAAGUGACUAUUUUGAGGUUCAUACAGAUGAAACUGAGAUUCAGAGGCCAUGUGACCUGCCGAAGGUUACAUGACCAAUGGGUCACGGAACUCGAAUUUGAACCAAGGUUGUGUGAUCCCAAAGUUUAUGUGUUCCUAGUACACAGGGCUGCCACAGACCUUUAAUUUACUGAGCUACCUACAAAGAAUGAUUUUCUAGAUUGCUAUAAGAGAUUGCCCUAACCUUUAAAAACACCACAAGCAUAUAAAGAAAAGUCUUAUAUUUUGAACACAUAAUGUCGGUUGGGAGAUGUCUAUGGUAAAUAGCAUAGUGAUAUAAUACAUUUUGGAAAUAAAUGAUUUUUGAAAAGCUCUCCUGAACUGAACAGAAGUAAACCUUAACAAGUAAAGGUGAAGAAAGGCAAAUGUUAUAGCCAUACCAUUUGGUGUUUCAAAAUUUUUCUUUCUGACCAACACUAACAAGCAAGAGAAUCAAACAAGGAGACAUCGUUAACUAUUAACUUGGGGGUGAAAGUCAAUGGUAAAGUACAUUCUUGGUACUAGCCUGCCCACACUCCAGCAAAGAUUAACAUAUAUGGGCAAGGACACUUUCCAAUGACUACACGAGUGAGUUGUACACAUUUGAAGAACACCAGCAACAAAGCCAUUUUUCCAGGGCUAGGCCCUUCUAUUACAGAAGCCCAGGAAAGUGGCCUACUUAAGGUCAUCUGGCUGGUUAGAGCUGGGACUCCCAAGGAAAGCAGUCCCUG